UUUCCAUAAACGAAGAUCAAUCACGAUCGUUCUUGUCUUCAUUUUGAUCGGACGACUAGGGAAAUAAAAUGAGAAAAUCGAAGUUACUAAUAGAUGAAAAUCAGUUUGCAGGUUAUAUUUUAAUGGUAGUGUAAGCUUUCAAUCAUUAUUUUUAAAAACUUAACCGAUUACACUCAACCAGUUACUUUACUCAAUCAACAUAAACGUUCAUCUUCUCCAUACUCUCUGCUCAUAUCUUUCGAACUCAACCCUUCCUCCACCUUCAUAUCUUCCCUAUUUUUUUUCCAGUUUAAUAUACUCUGGUGGAGGCUUGAGGAGUUUUACACUCAGUACCUGGAACCAGAGCUCGAGAGUAUCAUUGGACUUUCGAGCUGAUAAAUGUCGAGUUAGGGUUCAGUUAUUUUGUUGCCUUUUGGAACUUGAAUUAGUGUAAACUUUAUUACCGAGUGUUCAAAUUUAAGAUGACGUUGAAAUAGAAGCAUGGAGGUGUCAAUAAGAAGGCAGAAGGAAAUGAUACGAAUGAUAAUGUGGCAAAAAAAAUAUUUGUAUUCAUUAACAUUAUCCAUUUAAUUAUGUUUGCUAAUUAUUCAUAUUUUAGAGACAUUAUUUUGUACUUAAUGUGUUUAAUUUUAUGUACAUGUAGGUCUGCCACAUUGGAAAAUACCCAAUUGGAGGCCUUGCUUAGAGAGCAAAAUAGACUUCAACACGAUGGGAAGGAGCUCGUUGGAAAGUGGAGGGCUGCUUCAAACACUGGUUCCACGAGUAAGUCUGAGAAGGAGAAAGUUGUUGAUAAAUAUUCCCCUUGUAAGUCUCUAAAGCUGAAAGAGGAGAACCGAGCUAGCAAGACUAAACAAAAGAAGCACAUGGAUGCGGCACUGGCAUCUUCUGGUCAUAUUGAGAGGGAGGAGUCCGUGGUUGAUGAGCCUGGUGUGGAUGAGCGUGGUUGAUGAGCCUGUUGUGGAGAAUGAGCAAUCAGAACAUCAGGUAGAACUGAAGAAAUGGGGCAUCGUUGGUUAAGAGAUGUUUGAGUCCAGUGAAGGCCUGGUUGAAGUCUCUUUCAAUUUGUCUUCCUCUGUAUCGAUGCAGAUGUUUGAAUUGACAGAGUUCAUGGACAACCUUGAACUUCCAUAUUCGUAUGUAGUAUGCGAUUAUGACCAACUUAUAUUGGAUCGAGAAUGCAUGAGGUUAAUGGAGCCUCAGGGUGCGGCCAGAGAUAAUUUCAGCAUAUGCGCGGAUCAUGACAUUCAUGGAGCGCAAGAAAUACGAAGAUGAUUCUUCUCCUUUGGUCUGGUUCAUGCCAGCAAAAAUGUCACAAAAACAGUUUGGACCCAAAAAACCUAUUCGUCGGGUUGCAUUUGCUGAGAUGUGGAAGGAAGUUGCCAUUAUCAAUCUUAAAAUAGGUCAUCAUUAAAGUUCAACAUUAACAAUAGCAUAGCCAAAUACAAGUUCCUCAGCAAAGCCUAACAUAAACAUAAAAGCAUUUCAGGUAAAUGAUAAUGAUAAUACAUAACAUAUAUGGAGGGGUUUAAAGGAAAUAACAUUGAAGACUAGAAACCA